CCCUUAGAUGUUCUGGGCCGCACGCGCGCUACACUGACGAUGGCAACGAGUUUUUCCUUCGCCGAAAGGUGUGGGUAAUCUUUUGAAACAUCGUCGUGCUGGGGAUAGAUCAUUGCAAUUUUUGAUCUUGAACGAGGAAUUCCUAGUAAGCGCGAGUCAUCAGCGCGCGUUGAUUACGUCCCUGCCCUUUGUACACACCGCCCGUCGCUACUACCGAUUGAAUGGUUUAGUGAGGACUCCUGAUUGGCGCCGCCGCCCCGGCAACGGAGCAGCGGACUGCCGAAAAGUUGUUCAAACUUGAUCAUUUAGAGGAAGUAAAAGUCGUAACA
rnacentral:rRNA from 1 species